rnacentral:rRNA from 1 species
AUUGAACGCUGGCGGCAUGCCUUACACAUGCAAGUCGAACGGCAGCACGGAGCUUGCUCUGGUGGCGAGUGGCGAACGGGUGAGUAAUAUAUCGGAACGUACCCAAGAGUGGGGGAUAACGUAGCGAAAGUUACGCUAAUACCGCAUACGAUCUAAGGAUGAAAGUGGGGGCUCGCAAGACCUCAUGCCCCUGGAGCGGCCGAUAUCUGAUUAGCUAGUUGGUGAGGUAAAGGCUCACCAAGGCAUCGAUAAGUAGCUGGUCUGAGAGGACGACCAGCCACACUGGAACUGAGACACGGUCCAGACUCCUACGGGAGGCAGCAGUGGGGAAUUUUGGACAAUGGGGGCAACCCUGAUCCAGCAAUGCCGCGUGAGUGAAGAAGGCCUUCGGGUUGUAAAGCUCUUUUGUCAGGGAAGAAACGGUGAAGGCUAAUAUCCUUUGCUAAUGACGGUACCUGAAGAAUAAGCACCGGCUAACUACGUGCCAGCAGCCGCCGUAAGAC